GUUUUUGUAGUUGAAUAACAACAAUAGCUUUUCAAGCUAUAAGUUCAGUUAAAUUCCUGGCAGAAUAA
rnacentral:tRNA from 1 species